rnacentral:lncRNA from 1 species
CAGGUAUCUCCGGUUAAGCAUAUCAAACACACGGCCAGGGGUACCCACGAUGAUGUGGGGAGCUUCCAUCUGCAGUUUCUGCACCUCAGCACGCACGUUGGCGCCCAUGUAGUCUCCUAGUGCCAUGACCACCUUCUGUAUCUGAGCAGAGAGAGGCAGGUGCUCAUAUGUCAGUUACCACUGUGCCCGGCACCAUUCUUAAAUGUUUUUCAUGUAUUGAUUCCUAACCAACAACUUUGGGGCAUGCACUAUUAUUAAACUCACAUUCAGCUGAGAAACAGGCAGAGGCUAAAAUCCACUUAAGAUCGUGCUGUCAAUAGGUGGCAAAGACAGGAUUUCAACUCAGUCUGGUUCCUGAGUGUACAGUGAUUCACAAUGAGGCCGCUCAGAUAAUUAAUUCAGUUUCUUUACUCUAGAUAUUUAGAACCCUUAACCUUCUGAAAACUAAUUUGACCAACUGCCUCAUCACGCA